rnacentral:rRNA from 1 species
GUUUGAGGGUAGCGGGAUUCGAAUAAUUGGUAAAAUUAGUAUAGACGAACACAUCUGGAAAGGUGGACCAUAGAGGGUGAUAGUCCUGUAGACGAAAUGCGAAAUUACCAAGUUGAAUAUCCCAAGUAGGUCGGGGCACGUGAAACCCUGAUUGAAUCAGCCAGGACCAUCUGGUAAGGCUAAAUACGUCUUGUGACCGAUAGUGAACUAGUACCGUGAGGGAAAGGUGAA